UACGUAGGGUACAAGCGUUAAUCGGAAUUACUGGGCGUAAAGCGUGCGCAGGCGGUUUUGUAAGUCUGACGUGAAAUCCCCGGGCUUAACCUGGGAAUUGCGUUGGAGACUGCAAGGCUGGAGUCUGGCAGAGGGGGGUGGAAUUCCACGUGUAGCAGUGAAAUGCGUAGAGAUGUGGAGGAACACCGAUGGCGAAGGCAGCCCCCUGGGUCAAGACUGACGCUCAUGCACGAAAGCGUGGGGAGCAAACAGG
rnacentral:rRNA from 1 species